AGUGGCGGGAUGCGCCCGGGAGCCGCAGCCUGAGCUUUAGCCCAUGAGGAGGAUGUGAGCGGGACUGAGUCAGGAGCCCUCUGGAAGCAUGGAGACUGUGGUGAUUGUUGCCAUAGGUGUGCUGGCCACCAUCUUUCUGGCUUCGUUUGCAGCCUUGGUGCUGGUUUGCAGGCAGCGCUACUGCCGGCCACGAGACCUGCUGCAGCGCUAUGAUUCUAAGCCCAUUGUGGACCUCAUUGGUGCCAUGGAGACCCAGUCUGAGCCCUCUGAGUUGGAACUGGACGAUGUCGUUAUCACCAACCCCCACAUUGAGGCCAUUCUGGAGAAUGAAGACUGGAUCGAAGAUGCCUCGGGUCUCAUGUCCCACUGCAUUGCCAUCUUGAAGGUAACCCUCUCUUAUUUCUCUGUGGGAUAAAGGGGAGUC
rnacentral:sRNA from 1 species